UAGGGAAUCUUCCACAAUGGACGCAAGUCUGAUGGAGCAACGCCGCGUGAGUGAAGAAGGUCUUCGGAUCGUAAAGCUCUGUUGUUGGUGAAGAAGGAUAGAGGCAGUAACUGGUCUUUAUUUGACGGUAAUCAACCAGAAAGUCACGGCUAACUACGUGCCAGCAGCCGCGGUAAUACGUAGGUGGCAAGCGUUGUCCGGAUUUAUUGGGCGUAAAGCGAGCGCAGGCGGAAUGAUAAGUCUGAUGUGAAAGCCCACGGCUCAACCGUGGAACUGCAUCGGAAACUGUCAUUCUUGAGUGCAGAAGAGGAGAGUGGAACUCCAUGUGUAGCGGUGGAAUGCGUAGAUAUAUGGAAGAACACCAGUGGCGAAGGCGGCUCUCUGGUCUGCAACUGACGCUGAGGCUCGAAAGCAUGGGUAGCGAACAGGAUUAGAUACCCUGGUAGUCCAUGCCGUAAACG
rnacentral:rRNA from 1 species